rnacentral:rRNA from 1 species
GAGAGUUGGGUAGUCCGCACGAGCGCACCCUAUUUUUAGUUGCCACCAUUUAGUUGGGCACUCUAAAAAAACUGCCGGUGAUAAGCUGGAGGAAGGAGGGGAUGACGUCAAGUCCUCAUGGCCCUUACGUGUUGGGCUACACACGUGCUACAAUGGUACUUACAGUGAGAUGCAAAGACGCGAGUCUUAGCCAAUCCCUAAAAGGUACCUCAGUUCGGAUUGCACUCUGCAACUCGAGUGCAUGAAGCUGGAAUUACUAGUAAUCGCAGAUCAGCGCGCUGCGGUGAAUACGUUCCCGGGUCUUGUACACACCGCCCGUCACACCAUGGAAGUUGGUUACACCUGAGGGCAAAACGUAAAACUUUUGACUACGGUACGAUCAGCGACUGGGGUGAAGUCGUAACAAGGUAGCCGUACCGGAAGGUGCGGCUGGAUUACCUCCUUUCU